rnacentral:rRNA from 1 species
CGUGUAGGCGGCCGUCUAAGUCGGGUGUGAAAUCCCUCGGCUCAACCGAGGAACCGCAUCCGAUACUGGACAGCUAGAGUGCGGUAGGGGCAAGUGGAACUCCAGGUGUAGCGGUGAAAUGCGUAGAUAUCUGGAGGAACGCCGGUGGCGAAAGCGACUUGCUGGCCCGCAACUGACGCUGAGGCGCGAAAGCUAGGGGAGCGAACAGGAUUAGAUACCCUGGUAGUC